rnacentral:rRNA from 1 species
CGCGUAGGUGGUAGUGUAAGUCUGGGGUGGAAUCCCAGGGCUCAACCCUGGAACUGCCUUGGAAACUGCAUUACUUGAGUCAGUGAGGGGAGGGUAGAAUUCCUGGUGUAGCGGUGAAAUGCGUAGAUAUCAGGAGGAAGGCCUGUGGCGAAGGCGGCCCUCUGGCGCUGGACUGACACUGAGGCGCGAAAGCGUGGGAGCAAACAGGAUUAGAUACCCUGGUAGUCCACGUCCUAAACGGUGGGCACUAGGUGUAGGGCUCGUAAGGGUUCUGUGCCGAAGGGAAACCAUUAAGUGCCCCGCCUGGGGAGUACGGCCGCAAGGUUGAA